rnacentral:tRNA from 1 species
UCCAAGAUGGCCGAGUGGUUAAGGCGUUGGACUUGAAAUCCAAUGGGGUUUCCCCGCGCAGGUUCGCACCCUGCUCCUGAAG